AGAAUCAACGCUGGCGGCGUGCCUAACACAUGCAAGUCGAACGAGAAAGUGGAGCAAUCCAUGAGUACAGUGGCGUACGGGUGAGUAACACGUGACUAACCUACCCUCGAGUGGGGAAUAACCUCGGGAAACCGGGGCUAAUACCGCAUAACAUCUUCGGAUCAAAUGCGUAAGCAGCUUGAGGAGGGGGUCGCGGCCGAUUAGCUAGUUGGCGGGGUAAUGGCCCACCAAGGCAAUGAUCGGUAGCCGGCCUGAGAGGGCGCACGGCCACACUGGAACUGAAACACGGUCCAGACUCCUACGGGAGGCAGCAGUGGGGAAUUUGCGCAAUGGGGGAAACCCUGACGCAGCAACGCCGCGUGGAGGAUGAAGCCCCUUGGGGUGUAAACUCCUUUCGAUCGGGACGAUUAUGACGGUACCGGAUGAAGAAGCACCGGCUAACUCUGCGCCAGCAGCCGC
rnacentral:rRNA from 1 species